UUGGGUUUAGGAGUAGCAUAAUAUGCGACACCAACCAGCACAAAGACGGCACGUAAGCGCAUGGUAGUGCUCUCGUCGACACCGGGCCCCGUUGUGAUGACGUGAGGCUGCCGCUUUAGCACUUGACUGUCUGUUGGCGACGCCCACUGUCCGCUGACGUUUUCUGUGACGGUUGACAUGGUCGAAAGAUCCAGCGAUGUACCCGCCAUUUCCACCGGGAAUCGGUAGGCGUGACCAGGUGGCGGUGAUAGCGCCGACAUCAGUAGCCCAGCUGCCGCGAUCUGCACAAAGACGGCACGUAAGCGCAUGGUAGUGCUCUCGUCGACACCGAGCCCACCAGUUUUACUUUUGUGAGCAUGGCCCACCUUUCUUUUAUUUCUCUCGUUUCGUUUCGUUUUCCUACACUUAGGCGCAUACCCCCUUCGAGGGAUCGACCAAGAUCCGGAUGGCGUUUUUUAUUUAUUUAUACAAUACUGCGGACAGGAAGUCCCAGCACGGUGACCAAGAAACGAAGACGAUAUACACAGAAGAACAAGAUGAAAGAAUGGAAAUCGCCACAGAAGAGGCCUCGCAAAGUCAUGUUGGUCGUGGAUCGGCCAACCCAUCAAAGGUGUCCCUUCUCACGCCAGCUUCAGCAACCAAGGCGGUGGUUGGCAGCAAUCGGAGCGAGCACGCAGCUGGCACAGCGUGUCAUCGCAGAUCUCUGCACCAGCCGCGGGUUCUCGAAGCCUGCGCCCAGCUCCUGACCAUCGCAGCAGUACUGAGCAGUCCUAGCCGCUGUUCCUGCAGUGGGACUUGGCGAGAGGGCGGCGUGCCUCGCUUCGAGUGCACCCACAGCUUUUGCCCCGCGGGUGGCGUCGACAAGUCCGCCGUCGUCGCCUUCGACGCGCUGCCCUCCUGCCCCGUGACCAGCCCCACCAGGGCUUCAACGCGCGGGGACUUCCAUUUUUGUGAGGCCAAGGAUUCCGUCGUUAUUCUGACUGGGGCGGAUUAAUGGUCACACAAAUGUUCAUAGUUUUCAAGCAGUACAAGGACGUCCCGGAUGUUCCAGGGGGUGCUAUAGGCUUCCAUAAAAUUGGUUCUGCAUACUGUGACCCUGAAGCCUUACUGUGCCCUCGCACUUUUGGCGAUGCCGUGCUGCUCGAGGGACCGGCGAAUGACGCAACUUGUCUGCAACUUGCGCCUUUUUUGCGUAGUUUUUUUUUUUCUGGUAUGCUCCUGCGGCAACUCCUACGAAGUUUGGCCCAUAUUGACGCGAGAUCUUGUGUUUUCCUGCUUUGCGCAAAUAUAUUGUUACUUACGCCAUG